rnacentral:rRNA from 2 species
UUUUAUGGAGAGUUUGAUCCUGGCUCAGGAUGAACGCUGGCGGCGUGCCUAAUACAUGCAAGUCGAGCGAACGGACGAGAAGCUUGCUUCUCUGAUGUUAGCGGCGGACGGGUGAGUAACACGUGGAUAACCUACCUAUAAGACUGGGAUAACUUCGGGAAACCGGAGCUAAUACCGGAUAAUAUUUUGAACCGCAUGGUUCAAAAGUGAAAGACGGUCUUGCUGUCACUUAUAGAUGGAUCCGCGCUGCAUUAGCUAGUUGGUAAGGUAACGGCUUACCAAGGCAACGAUGCAUAGCCGACCUGAGAGGGUGAUCGGCCACACUGGAACUGAGACACGGUCCAGACUCCUACGGGAGGCAGCAGUAGGGAAUCUUCCGCAAUGGGCGAAAGCCUGACGGAGCAACGCCGCGUGAGUGAUGAAGGUCUUCGGAUCGUAAAACUCUGUUAUUAGGGAAGAACAUAUGUGUAAGUAACUGUGCACAUCUUGACGGUACCUAAUCAGAAAGCCACGGCUAACUACGUGCCAGCAGCCGCGGUAAUACGUAGGUGGCAAGCGUUAUCCGGAAUUAUUGGGCGUAAAGCGCGCGUAGGCGGUUUUUUAAGUCUGAUGUGAAAGCCCACGGCUCAACCGUGGAGGGUCAUUGGAAACUGGAAAACUUGAGUGCAGAAGAGGAAAGUGGAAUUCCAUGUGUAGCGGUGAAAUGCGCAGAGAUAUGGAGGAACACCAGUGGCGAAGGCGACUUUCUGGUCUGUAACUGACGCUGAUGUGCGAAAGCGUGGGGAUCAAACAGGAUUAGAUACCCUGGUAGUCCACGCCGUAAACGAUGAGUGCUAAGUGUUAGGGGGUUUCCGCCCCUUAGUGCUGCAGCUAACGCAUUAAGCACUCCGCCUGGGGAGUACGACCGCAAGGUUGAAACUCAAAGGAAUUGACGGGGACCCGCACAAGCGGUGGAGCAUGUGGUUUAAUUCGAAGCAACGCGAAGAACCUUACCAAAUCUUGACAUCCUUUGACAACUCUAGAGAUAGAGCCUUCCCCUUCGGGGGGGCAAAGUGACAGGUGGUGCAUGGUUGUCGUCAGCUCGUGUCGUGAGAUGUUGGGUUAAGUCCCGCAACGAGCGCAACCCUUAAGCUUAGUUGCCAUCAUUAAGUUGGGCACUCUAAGUUGACUGCCGGUGACAAACCGGAGGAAGGUGGGGAUGACGUCAAAUCAUCAUGCCCCUUAUGAUUUGGGCUACACACGUGCUACAAUGGACAAUACAAAGGGCAGCGAAACCGCGAGGUCAAGCAAAUCCCAUAAAGUUGUUCUCAGUUCGGAUUGUAGUCUGCAACUCGACUACAUGAAGCUGGAAUCGCUAGUAAUCGUAGAUCAGCAUGCUACGGUGAAUACGUUCCCGGGUCUUGUACACACCGCCCGUCACACCACGAGAGUUUGUAACACCCGAAGCCGGUGGAGUAACCUUUUAGGAGCUAGCCGUCGAAGGUGGGACAAAUGAUUGGGGUGAAGUCGUAACAAGGUAGCCGUAUCGGAAGGUGCGGCUGGAUCACCUCCUUUCU